rnacentral:piRNA from 1 species
UUGAUGAUGAGAGGACUUAGCACACGGC